GCACGCGCACCAGCGGCCUCCGCGCAGGCUCCGUGCCCGCGCACGCGCCCUCGCGUCGCGCUCCUGGCGGAGACACCUGCGCUCGGGCCCGGCUCCGGGCGGUUCUCCCGGUGCCGUUCCACCGGGACUUCCGCGCUUCGGCGGCCUUUCUGACGAGCCGCGGCGCCCGGAGAUGUUCAGGUUGGAGCGACACUUCCCAGAGGGCAGCGGUCACGCCAGAUCUUCGGCUUCCAUUCCGUUUUCGCGCGGUUCUCCCUCUUCGCAAGGUCUUCCAGGUAUAGAGAAGCUGGUUUAUCUGAGACCCCACUGGCUUUCUGUUGGCUCCCAUAGGCUUGGAUGCUGCUGCCCCAUGCAUGACCGGUGAUGCUUGUCCUGGGUUGUCUGAAGGACGAUUGGCCCUGAGCUAACAUCUGUUGCCAAUCUUCCUCUUUUUGCUUGAAGAAGAUUGUUGCUGAGCUAACAUCUGUGCCAAUCUUGCUCUGCUUUAGUGGGAUGCCGCUGCAGUGUGGCCUGAUGAGAGCUGAUAGAUCCCACCUGAGAUCAGAACCUGCAAACCUUGGGUGACCGAAGCAGAGCACAUGAACUUAACCACUGUGCCACAGAGUUGGCCCCAACCAUCUCAGCUUUCAAUUGGAGUACUUCAUACAUUUCAAAUUUAAUUCAACUAUCGAUAUUGUUAACUUUUUAUCUCCCAUUCUGCUGUUUCCUAUGUCUUAUGUGCUUUUGUGCCUUUUUUACUGCUUUUUCAUAUCAAAUAUAUUUUUUUCUAGAGAAACAUUUUACUGGUUCUCUUAAUAGCCUGAAUUAUUUUCUUAGUAGUUACUCAAGGGAAGACAAUAUACAUCUUAACAUAAUACUA
rnacentral:lncRNA from 1 species